rnacentral:rRNA from 1 species
AUUGAACGCUGGCGGCAGGCCUAACACAUGCAAGUCGAGCGAGCGGCGGACGGGUGAGUAAUGUAUGGGGACUGCCCGAUAGAGGGGGCUACCUACUGGAAACGGUGGCUAAUACCGCAUACAGUCGGAUAACCCAUAUGGGAUUAGCUUGUAGGUACGGUAAUGGCUUACCUAGGCGACGAUCCCUAGCUGGUCUGAGAGGAUGAUCAGCCAAACUGGGACUGAGACACGGCCCAGACUCCUACGGAGGCAGCAGUGGGGAAUAUUGCACAAUGGGCGCAAGCCUGAUGCAGCCAUGCCGCGUGUAUGAAGAAGGCCCUAGGGUUGUAAAGUACUUUAAGCGAGGAGGCGUUACUCGCAGAAUAAGCACCGGCUAACUCUGUGCCAGCAGCCGCGGUAAUAC